CUUGCGGUAGCUCAGUCGGUAGAGCGAAGGACUGUAGUUGUGGUUCGAAUCCAGCUCGUAAGA
rnacentral:tRNA from 1 species